rnacentral:tRNA from 1 species
CCUGGUGGUUCAGACGGUAAAGCGUCUGACUGCAAUGCAGGAGACCCAGGUUCAAUCCCUGGGUCAGGA